UGAGGUAUAUCUCAGUGGUAGAACGCUUGCUUAGUACACUAGAGGCCCUGGGUUUCACCCCCAGUACCACAA
rnacentral:tRNA from 1 species